UGGCCUGGCUGCUGCCUCUGUCUGGAAUGUUCUUCUCAGGCCUUGCUCAUACCUUUUCAUCUGGGUCAGUUCCUGCUCUGCGUUCAAUGUCAGCCUACCUCCUCAAGGUAUCUCUUGACUCUGAGAAGUUUGCUGCCAUUUCCGGAUGUCCCGGUUCUCCCUGUAGCUCGAUCACCACGUCGUCUGUGAAAGGCCCUGCCACCUGAUGGAUUCUCCCAGGGCUCUCAAGCCUGUGCCCCUCCCAACUGCUCAUCGGAGCUUCUCAAAGCAGGGCCUCCUUUGACUCAGCUGUCCCUGAAAAUGGCUGAGGACAUCAACACUAAUUGGACAUGUCCUCUCAUCAGCAAGGGGCAGGGGCCUCUCUGAUGAGCCAGCUGGUGAAAACCAGAGCCUGGGCUCCCUGUAGAACGUGGCUGCUAUACUCAGGCUAUUAGCUUGGACCCCAAGGUCAGGAAAUCAGCCCUGGAUCCAGGCUGUGUCAGUGGAGAGCCAUGUUGCACAGAACGCGAUACAAGUCUGAUGUUGUUGAAGGAAGCUCAGCUGGAGCCUGAACGCCAUGGUCCUGAUGUAAGGACUGACUCUCUAGUGAUGUCAUGGGUCCUGCAGAUGCCCCCAAGAGGCCAUGAAACUGGAAUAUCACUGGUGGUCUGAGGGGCAUGUCAGACAAAUGCCACCUUCUCAAUAUGUGUCCCUGAUUCUUAGAGAGUCCUGUGAUGCCGUAUGCACAGUGUAGCUCUCAUGAGGUCCCCAGGAGCCUGGCAUCAUUGAAUCAGUCUGGAAAGCAUGGUGCGCUACACGGGACCGGCCAACACCAACCAUUUAUUCAUCAGCUGGCACAUCUGUUUGUCUGUGCACACUCUGGCAUGUCUUCCAAAAACAUGGCAGUUAAGCUGGGCUAUGGCAUACAGAGUAGCAUAUAAAGAAGCCUACAGGCUGAGAAGUCAAGCCAAGUCAAGCUCAAACCAAGGAAAGAAACAAGUCUACAUUCUGCUGAUAAAUGGAGUCACCUGCUUGGUAACUUGUAAAGAAUGAAGGUUUAUUUAGCUCAUGUUUCUGGAGGCUGGGAUGCCCAAGGUCAAGAGGUCAUAUUUAGUGGGGACUCGGUUCUCCUCAGAGUUAUUGGCAGCACCGGGCACCAGGUGGUAAGAGAGACACAUUACAGAGUCAGGGCAAACCUCCCCUGAGGCCAAUGAGGUGGCUCAGAACCUAAAGGCUUUUGCUACCAAACCUGAUUUGCUACCAAACCCAAGUUCAGUUUCCAGGACCUACAUGGUACAAGAGAAUUAGCUAUUGCAAGUUGCCCUCUGACAUGUGUGUGUGUGUGUGUGUGUGAUGGGAUGGGUUAGUAUGUGCAUAUGGACAUGUGCACACAUAUAACUAAAUAAAGGUAAAACUGCAAAAGAAAAGUGCUGCCCUGUAGGCAAGGAAUGUAGCUCAGGUGCUUUCCUGACAUGUAUGAGGUCCUGGGUUCACCUGACCUGGGUGAGGUGGCAUAUGCCUAUAUCCCAGUCAGGAGGAUCAGAAAUCCAGAGUCAUCUUCCAUGGCUACAUAGUGAAUAUGAGAACAAUCUGCAUUAGAGAACAUAUGUAUCCAAGGUAGGUCUUUGUGUGUGUGUGUGUGUGUGUGUGUGUGUGUGUGCACCUUGGAGAUAGCUCAAUAACUCAUCAUUCUAUGAGGCUUUUCAAGGUCCCCAUGACCCAGCCACUUCCCUGGGGUCUUAAUGGUCCUACUUCUGAAUAUCUUACAAUGGGGAUGAUGUUUAAGAACAAAAGUUGGUAGAGACAUUCGAACUACAGCUGCUACCAAACUCUUAGUCCCUCACGGACUGAAGGGCAAGGAAGAGAAAGAACAGGAUAGGCAGUCUUAUCUACCAACAGAUAUGGUGGACUUGGGAGCCUCAGGAGCCCAGGCUCUGGGCUCCACCCCCAGCUUUCACCUCAGUCACUCCUCAGAAAGAAAUGGAGGCAGCACUAUGCUGGCCUGCUGGUAGCUGUCUGAGGACAGCUUCCCCACUCUUUCUCUUUCCUAACUUUUCCACCCCAAGCUGCCCCUCUGGCCCUGCUCCCGCUGACUUGGGAUGCCACAGAGGGCCACCCACCCACUUGGGCUCACAAAAGCAGGCCUGUCUGCCUCUGAGCAGGGUAACACAUGGGGACAGGCCUGGGAGCCACACCACUCUCCUCUGGGGAAGUUGGGUCUAGAAGAAGAGACAGUGCUUUGUCACAAACAACCUCUCAGCCUAGACAGAGGCAGCAACAUGGAAGCCUGGGUCCAAGUAGGGCUGUGGGAUGGGGCAUGUCACUGUCCAAGACAAAUUAGACUCAAAGAGUCUGAACUAACUAAACUACCAUCUACUCUUUUGUGGUAAACCAGUUCAAGACAUUUACGUUCCCAUUGGAAACUGUUGCCCAUGUGUCUUGGAUCAGCCUAUGUGUUACAACCCCUUUGGGAGCCAAAGGACCCUUUCACAGGGGUCAAAUAUCAGAUAUCCUGCAUAUCAGAUAUUCACAUUAUGAUUCAUAACAGUAGAAAAAUUAUAGUUAUGAAGUAACAAUGAAAAUAAUUCUAUGGUUGGGGUCACCACAACAUGAGAAAUUGUAUUAAAGGGUCACAGCAUUAGGAAGGAUCACUGUUAUAGAUAAUAAGUACAAGAGAUGUGGGCACUAACAACUCUCAUACAACUCUCAUUUGUCAAAUCUCAGUGAAUGUGACUUAUGACAUGACCUUGGAGAGGCUGCUGUGGACUUCCCUGUCCAGUCAGUGAGCCCCUCUGUGGAGGCUAAUCAACAAGAAACCUGGCUGGACAUAGCAAGAGAAUAAAGCAGGGAUCAUAGCUAGAGACACAGGUUUCAAGGUGAGCUUCCUGGAAUCAAAACCACAAAGUCAGGCGUCUGCUCUGAGCUUACUCACCUGGCCUAUAAAAGUAAGCAACCACAGCUUUUGUUAUGGUUAUCGUCUUUGUUACCUGGUGAGGGGGAAGCAGUCACCCCAGAGCCAGGCUCACAAGCAAAGCAUACACUGUAGAACUCCUCUUAGGGCUGUUGUUUCAUUGUUAUGAUUAUUCAGGAUGGAUCAGGUAGUCUCUGUGUCCUUGGGAGUGGGUGAGAAGCUAAACCACACACACUGUAUUAGACUCUGCUAAGUGCCAUGAGGCCAGGACCAGGAGCUGAGGAUACGGGGCAGGCAGCUUUUGUGGAAAAUAAGGUGUCCCUGCCAGAGGACAAACAGGCUUUGUACAUGUGGGAACAGAAUAAAGGAAUCACUUGAACAAAGGUCCAUGGGAAAGCAGAGGGCAUCUCCCCAGCCUGAGGCCACUGAGCAGAGGGCUUAAAAGGGAUGGAUGUCCAGGUUAGCACAGGUUUGACAUUCGAUCAUAAAGGACCUCAAGUGAUGUCGUUCUCAGACAUGGCUGCAACUCAACAAAAGUGGGACUGGCAUAGAUAUUUUUGAGAAGAAAGUUUGGAGCAUGCUUCUGGAAAGAUUGCAGGAUUGUCUGCUGGAGGGUUCAACAGCAGGCAGAAGCCAUACAGAGACGGCCCUUAUACUUCUAUCUUUGAAAAGGUCACCCAUCUCCCAGCUCCUGCUGAAUGUCCAUCUUUUCUCUGUGUGUGUUUAUCUGAAGGUACACACACAUAUGUGUAUGGAGGUCAGAGGAAAACCUCAGGAGUCACCCUCUGGAAGGUCAUCCACCUCCUUUGAGACAGAGUCUCCUAGUGGCCUGGAGCUCAGUGGUUUGGUCAGGCUGGCUGGCCGCCAAGCACCAGGGGUCCUCCUCUAUCCACCUCCCCAGUGCCGGGAUUCCAAGCAUGCAUUUCCACACCUAGCCUUUUUAUGAGGGCGCUGGAGAUUGAACCCAUGUCCAUAUGCACGUGAGGCAAGCAGCUUGCCAACUGGCUAGCUCCCCAUCCUAAAGUUGUCUUCUUUGCUAGAUAGCACGCCAGUGUAGGUAUGUAUGGUUCCAAUACUGCCUUCUCACCAUUGUGUCUCAGGAGAGUCCCAGUUGGGUAAUAGUUUUUGAAUUAAAAUUGACCAAAAAAAAUUCAAAA